rnacentral:lncRNA from 1 species
AAAUACAUGAUAUAGAAAAGCGGUGCAUGACUAAUUCUUUUUCUUUUGCAGGUCUUUGUUAUUGCUCUCAUCAACUCUUUUCUCACACAUUCCUCAGCAGUUACCAGUGAUCUUUUUCCUCUUUCAACUUGUUCUUAAAUAUUGAAGGCCAAAUAGAGAAGCUCACCAACUCUCUAAUCCCAGAUAAUUAAAGAGGUGCACGAUUUCUAAAUCAUUGAAUUUUUUUUUUUUUUUGAUAGUAGAAUCCCUGAUCCUUGAUCUUGACAUCUGCUCUUUCUUAAGUUCCAUCUACUUUCCAAGAAAAAAUUUCCUCUGGUUUGUUUUAAUAUUGUAACUUAUUUUGCAUGAGUUUUAAGUUAGUAUUCAUUGUUAAAGCCUGUGCUCUUAUUAUUUCUUUUGGUUAAUUUGCAUGCUCUCCCCCCCCCCCCCCCAAAAAAAAAAGGUUAGAAAAAGAUUAUAGGCUUUUACUCAGACCCUUGAAACCUUUACUGAUAAUACCAAAAACUCUAAUCCUUCAACAAAAGAAAGCAAGAAAAAAAGGUCCUAAGUUUAUUGUCUUUUAUUGGCUUUGUACCAAAAACUCUGAUCUGUUGGCUUUGUAUCAGUAUUGCUUGUUUGUUGUCUUUUAUUUCAUUAUUUGUAUCUAAGUUUAUUUGAAGAAUACAGAUCAGCAGGAAAAGCCCUUUUUCUAAAGCUAACUAUACAGAUUUUAGAAUAGGGCUCAACCACAUGAAAAUAUUUACGUUGUAAUAUCUCAUAUUAAUAAUCUAAAAACAACCAAUCCAACAAGUUCAAAUUCAGUCAAAUCUUAAAAAAAAUUGCUUUUAAGGAGUACAUGAUAGCUAUUAAACUUUGGUUAAAGAUCUUUUGGGCAAACGUGAAAUUAAGUCAAUCAUAAAUCAACCAAUCCAACGAGUUCAAAUUCAUCACUUGCAAAAUUAAGUUUUCUUCCGAAAUUGAGUUGUUUCCAGUAGAAAUUUUCCCGCAGUCACGAGCACCAUCAUCAAAACAAGAUUAUUAAUAUAAGAACAAGAGUUGAGGAAAAAAAAAUAGUUAAAACAAGAUUCCUCUGUUUUCAUUCCCCUGUUUUUUUUCGUUUGGUGAUUGAAAAAUUUUAUCUCUAAACUUUUAUAAUUUUCCAUUAAGGUUUAUAUUUAAAUAAAGAGUUAAAAAAAUCUAAUUCUAAAUUUAUGGAUUGAAUGAUUAUUAUUAUAUUCUCUUAGAAUUGGUUACAAUAUCAAUUAAAUAACGAAUAGAGUUAUUGAUCACUUUGUUAAAAAUGAACAUGUGUUCUGUUUAUAUGAACACGGGCUGCACGCUUUAAGUCUUGUUCUUUUACAAUUCAAUUGUAUUGCUUACUCCCAUAAACUCUUUACUCACAUUCUUCUGCAGUUAACAGUGAUCUUUUGCUCAUUAAAAGUUUUCUUAUAAAUCGAAGGCCAAGAGUGAAGCUCAUAAACUCUGUGAUCCUAGAUAAUUGAAGAGGUGCGUUUGUUCUAAAUACUUUAAUAAUUUCUUUCAAUAGAAUAAUUUCUAAUCUUUGAUCUUGAUAGCAGUUGUUUCUUAAUGUCCAACAAAAACUAUCUCU